UACUUUAUCAUCAAUUGAU
rnacentral:snRNA from 1 species